rnacentral:rRNA from 1 species
AACGGACGCUGGCGGCAGGCUUAACACAUGCAAGUCGAGCGGAGCGAGGGUGCUUGCACCUUAGCUUAGCGGCGGACGGGUGAGUAAUGCUUAGGAAUCUGCCUAUUAGUGGGGGACAACAUUCCGAAAGGAAUGCUAAUACCGCAUACGCCCUACGGGGGAAAGCAGGGGAUCUUCGGACCUUGCGCUAAUAGAUGAGCCUAAGUCGGAUUAGCUAGUUGGUGGGGUAAAGGCCUACCAAGGCGACGAUCUGUAGCGGGUCGGAGAGGAUGAUCCGCCACACUGGGACUGAGACACGGCCCAGAGUCCUACGGGAGGCAGCAGUGGGGAAUAUUGGACAAUGGGCGGAAGCCUGAUCUAGCCAUGCCGCGUGUGUGAAGAAGGCCUUUUGGUUGUAAAGCACUUUAAGCGAGGAGGAGGCUACUGGUACUAAUACUACUGGAUAGUGGACGUUACUCGCAGAAUAAGCACCGGCUAACUCUGUGCCAGCCGCCGCGGUAAAAC